AGUGAACGCUGGCGGCAGGCCUAACACAUGCAAGUCGAACGGAUGAACAGUACUUGCUUCUUGAUUCAGCGGGGGACGGGUGGGUGGUGCAUAGAAAUAUCCCUACCAGUGGUUGCGAACGUCCGUACGCAGGGACUAAUACUGCAUUAUUCCUGAUGACUAAAGUGGGAGAUCUGGGGACCUUACGCUCUCAUGUAAGCGUAUGUGUCGUGGUCGGAUUAGCUUGUUGGUGGGGUAAAGGCCUACCAAGGCGACGAUCCGUAGCUGGUCUGAGAGGAUGAUCAGUCACACUGGAACUGAGACACGGUCCAGACUCCUACGGGAGGCAGCAGUGGGGAAUAUUGGACAAUGGGCGAAAGCCUGAUCCAGCCAUGCCGCGUGUGUGAAGAAGGUCUUCGGAUUGUAAAGCACUUUAAUUUGGGAGGAAGAGCAGCAAGUUAAUACCUUGCUGUUUUGACGGUACCAAAAGAAUAAGCACCGGCUAACUUCGUG
rnacentral:rRNA from 1 species